rnacentral:rRNA from 1 species
UACGAAGGGGGCUAGCGUUGUUCGGAAUUACUGGGCGUAAAGCGCACGUAGGCGGCCAACUAAGUCGGACGUGAAAUCCCUCAGCUUAACUGGGGAACUGCGUCCGAUACUGGAUGGCUUGGAUUUGGGAGAGGGAUGCGGAAUUCCAGGUGUAGCGGUGAAAUGCGUAGAUAUCUGGAGGAACACCGGUGGCGAAGGCGGCAUCCUGGACCAAUAUUGACGCUGAGGAGCGAAAGCCAGGGGAGCAAACGGG